rnacentral:rRNA from 1 species
CAGGUGCAGAUCUUGGUGGUAGUAGCAAAUACUCCAGCGAGGCCCUGGAGGACUGAUGUGGAGAAGGGUUCCGUGUGAACAGCCGUUGCACACGGGUCAGUCGAUCCUAAGCCCUAGGGGAAACCCGAUGUUGAUGGUCGCGGGAUGUUCUCGAGCUGAAGCGGAAGCGAUUUCGCUAUUUCGGCGCACACAUGACCCCGUCCGUCGGGCGAAAGGGAAUCCGGUUCCUAUUCCGGAACCCGGUUGCGGAACCGCACUCACGAUCCUCGUAUUGACACGGUAACGUGAAUGACCCCAGAGAUGCCGUCUGGAGCCCCGGGAAGAGUUUUCUUUUCUGCCUGAGCGUUCGGGUUCCAUGGAAUCCUCUAGCAGGGAGAUAUGGAAUGGAGCGCGAAGAGCACCGCAGUUGCUGCGGUGUCCGGGGAGUCCCGUCGGCCCUUGAAAAUCUGGGUGAGGGUCAMUGUGGAGUCGCCGCACCGGAUCGUACCCAUAUCCGCAGCAGGUCUCCAAGGUCAAGAGCCUCUAUCUCGAUAUAAUAAUGUAAGUNANGUAAGUC